CGGUAAUUCCAGCUCCAAUAGCGUAUAUUAAAGUUGUUGCAGUUAAAAAGCUCGUAGUUGGAUUUCUGACAGCGCAGACCUCCCUCUCCAAGCCCUCUGCUUUCCUUCCUUCUGGGGAGGUUUGUGGGGGGAGAUGGGUGGGAAACGACGCGGUGUCAUCCUCUCGGAGACGUCAUGUGCUCUUAAUUGGGUGUGUGAGCCGGAUCCGGGAUCUUUACUUUGAAAAAAUUAGAGUGUUCAAAGCAGGCCUUCGCUUGAAUACAUUAGCAUGGAAUAAUAGAAUAGGACUUUGGUUCUGUUUUGUUGGUUUAUAGGACCGAAGUAAUGAUUAAUAGGGAUAGUUGGGGGCAUUAGUAUUUAAUUGUCAGAGGUGAAAUUCUUGGAUUUAUGAAAGACUAACAUCUGCGAAAGCAUUUGCCAAGGAUGUUUUCAUUAAUCAAGAACGAAAGUUAGGGGAUCGAAGACGAUCAGAUACCGUCGUAGUCUUAACCAUAAACUAUGCCGACUAGGGAUCGGUGGGUUCAUUUUAUAGGCCCAUCGGCACCUUAUGGGAAACCAAAGUUUUUGGGUUCCGGGGGGAGUAUGGUCGCAAGGCUGAAACUUAAAGGAAUUGACGGAAGGGCACCACCAGGAGUGGAGCCUGCGGCUUAAUUUGACCCAACACGGGAAAACUCACCAGGUCCAGACAUAGGAAGGAUUGACAGAUUGAGAGCUCUUUCUUGAUUCUAUGGUUGGUGGUGCAUGGCCGUUCUUAGUUGGUGGAGUGAUUUGUCUGGUUAAUUCCGUUAACGAACGAGACCUUAACCUGCUAAAUAGAGUUGCGAUUCUCGAAUCGUAGACUACUUCUUAGAGGGACUAUCGGCGUUUAGUCGGUGGAAGUUUGAGGCAAUAACAGGUCUGUGAUGCCCUUAGAUGUUCUGGGCUGCACGCGCGCUACACUGACGAGAGCAACGAGUGUAGCUGCUCUGGAAAGAGUGGGCAAUCUUUUGAAAUCUCGUCGUGAUGGGGAUAGAUCUUUGUAAUUAUCGAUCUUGAACGAGGAAUUCCUAGUAAGCGCGAUUCAUCAAAUCGCGUUGAUUACGUCCCUGCCCUUUGUACACACCGCCCGUCGCUACUACCGAUUGAAUGGUUUAGUGAGGCCUCGGGAUUGACAAAUGGGAGUUAGCAAUAACUCCCUAUUGUUCGAGAACUUGGUCAAACUUGAUCAUUUAGAGGAAGUAAAAGUCGUAACAAGGUAGCCGUA
rnacentral:rRNA from 1 species